UAAAGGGAGGUAGAUAGGUGUGUGUGAGGGUACCUUUAAUUCUUCUCCCCCGCUCACAUUCCUCCCCUGUACCACGAGUACCUACCGACCUACCUCCCAAGCCUCAUCUCAUCUGUCCAC